rfam:TPA: Bos taurus chromosome 11, whole genome shotgun sequence.
CCUGGUGGCUCAGAUGGUAAAGCAUCUGCCUACAAUGCAGGAGAUCUGGGUUCAAUCCCUGGGUCAGGA